rnacentral:lncRNA from 1 species
AACUCUAGCAUCUUUUACUCUUUUUUUUUUUUUUUUUUUGCAUAAGUUAACCUGCUCCCAGUUUUAAGUUAUUCCUACCUAUAGGGCAAGUUGAACUAACUGUUUCUAGUGCCCGUGUUGAGAAGCUCAGCACUAAGCCACAGAACACUGACAAUAUUCACUAAAUGGCUUUACCAGUGGAAAAUUGGUGUGACUGUCCUACGACUAACAAAUGUUUCACUCCAGUUUAAUGUCCAUCAGCUAAAAUGCAUCCUAGGUAGUUUUCUAACUUGCAGCAUUUGAUGUUGUUUGUAAUAAGCCAACCGGUUAUUUUAUGACACUCAAUUGGCAUGAAUGCAGAGUAAAAUUAAUCAAGCUGACAUCCAAAGCUAACGCUUAGUAAGGUCAACUGAGGAUCACGUCUUAACCUAGAAAGCUGGUUUCUUCACCACCUCCCCAACUCCUGAAGUCUCUUUGUACCCCUUGACCCAUAAGACUCUAUACACUCCAGAGUGCAUUGGCCGUCUUACCAGUCUAGAGCAUUGCUAUUUUUAAAAUUGUUUCUUCUUAGAAAAAUGCCCAGAUCUUACUAUCAAAGAUUUUUCUCUGAGUCAUACAUUUCCUAUUAGAAAUCAGGCCAGAUGGAGGUUCUAGUUUGGUAAUUGGGUGCUGUCCUUUGGCUAUUACCGUUUCUAGCCAUUCUGCUUUCUUUCCGAGAAUGAAGAGCAGCAAAAGUACAUUGCAGUGCAAGAAGUGUUCUCUCGCCCGAAUAAAAUCAACUGACAGGUGUUGAAUGAUCUCCAACAAUUAAAUUCUGUGACUGGUAUAAAGUGGCAUUUGCACCAAUAUCAAACAAAGUCAGACUAAUGUAAAUUAUGUGUGCAAUUAGAAUAUCUUCUCCUUAGGGAGAAUUGCUUGUUUCUGCUUUAUCUAGAGUUUCCCUUAAUACUCUUGUGACUAGAAAAUGUUUUAAUUAUUAGCUAGGUUAUUCUUACUUAAGACUUUGAAGUGCCUUUUUUCUUUUUUUUUUUUUUCUGUUGUUAACACACUUCUUUUCUGACUCGACUCAAUUUUCUCCAUUGUCUUACCAUAAAAUGUCAUUACAUUUUUUUAUGGAGUGUUUGAUGAUUAGUUUGCUAGCUGCCUUAAGGGAGCGGAUAGGGCACACUCAAGAGUCAUUUGCUUGUUGUCUGUUGGAAGACUCUUUAAAUGUCAGCAUUCCCUGGGUAACUGUCAUUUGUUUCAAAGUUGAGGUGAUUGUGUGUGGAACGGAUGGAUGCUCCCCAAUUCCCAGAAUCCAGAAAAAUGAAACCAGAUGUGAUCAACCUGAAGUUGGGACACUUGGUCACAAGCCUCAAAGUCACUCAAAAAGGACUAAGCUAGUUAUUUCUCUUGUGUGUCCUUUGUGUCCUUGAUGUUUUAAACUGCUCAACUCCACCCCCACCCAAAAAAAAAAAUCCAGGUUAAUAUAAUAAUACAAGAAAACAAUUUUAGUUGAAACCAUUCUGGAACGUGGAGAGGAACUCCUUUUCCUGUCCUGUGUCUCCUCAGCAGAACCCAGCCCUGCGUGACAGAGAAGAAAAGGGUGGCCUGUUGGUCACCUGCCACUCAGAACGUAGCCCACUCUGUCUCCUGAAACCCCAGUUACCUUCAGUGCAGGCUCUGAGGGCAGAGACCCCAUUCUGGGCAGUGCUGAACCCCUGUUCUUAGCAAACUGUACAUGGGCCUGGCCAGUGGUAACAAGACUUAAUGGAAGCCAGUGGAAGCUGGCUGGCGUCUGGGUAGCCUACUUGUCAUGUAAGUCACUUGGUAAAGUGAGAAUGUUCUUUAUUCUGCUCCCCCACCCCCGGAACUUUACUAUAUCAGUUCUCAAACAUGGAAGUCUGUUUAAAGCCUAGUGAACACCAACCACCUUGGAUCUACAGUGACAUUAGGUUUGUUCUGUAGCUUCAUGUCAAUUUAAUGUAAAUUCCAGUUUCUCUUCAAGACUGUUCAAUCUCAGAAUAAUUAAACAACUUGAAGUUGGAUAAAAUUCUCCUUGGAAACUUGUGACAUUUUAUUGUAGUUCAAAUUGUAGCUUCUACUUUAUGCCAACCUAAAAUUUGUGGGAAUGCUAUGAGGAACUAUGAGAAAUAAUCUUAUUUCUUUGUCUACAGGAGUAUUUUUCCAUAAAGGGUUUAUUUGGAAGUUUCUGGUUGUGCAGAAUGUCACUUUCUUACUUGAGUUAAUUCCAUGGGUAAGGGAUAAUUUGGGGGCACACUUUGCUAAUAUAUAUGACUUCAGGACUAUGUUCCCUAGGUACUAAGACAAGUGCUUUGGCAAUAGCUACGAAGUCUGGAGUCAGGAUAGAGAUUGUCAUGAGGGUCUCCGUAGCCUCUAUGGCAGAGUGGAAAUCCUUAGGAGGCAAGAAUGUAGUUCAGUUCAGUGCAACUAAAUAAGUUGUUAUUGCUUCAAAUUUCAGUAGUCUGACCAUGAGUGGUUUAUUUAUUAUUAUAUUGGCAUAUUUAAGCCCAGCUCACCUUGGUGAAAAGUUUUCUCAUGAUAAUUAACUCAAUCCUGUGUAUACAAUAAAGCAUACCUAACUCUCUUUGAGGAGCAAAGUAAGCUCAGAAAAGAUUAGAUAAUGAACACAUCAAAACUUUAUAACAUGUGUGUUGCACCUUCCAUAAUGGGUUCUAUAGACUGACUUAAAAAAAAAAAAAAAGAAAAAAGCUUUGAUAAAAAGGGGGAGGGUGGGGCUGGGGAUUUAGCUCAGUGGUAGAGCGCUUACCUAGGAAGCGCCAGGCCCUGGGUUUGGUCCCCAGCUCCGGAAAAAAAGAACCAAAAAAAAAGGGGGGGGGGAGGGUCAGGCGUGAUCUCCUACCACACAGAUUGCACAAAGGUCCCCAAGCUAGAAUGGUUUUCCUUUCCCAAUCUUCCAGGUGGAUAACAGGUUAUGCAUUCCUUCUCUUGAAAGAACAUCCCUGUACCCUGUAUCCUAACAUUCCAGGUUCCCCUGGUGCUAGUCUGUGAGCGCAAGGACCUCCAUGCUUCCUACAGGUUUUACUGCCGACUGACCACUUACGUUCAAUUUUAUUUCUGAUAGUUUAGCUGCCUGGAAAAUGGGAACUAGGAUUUGAAAUCUAAAUAUUAUGGAGUACUUAACAUUGUUAAUGCUUAGGUCUAUUUUUGGAGGUAUUUAUAGACUUAGGGAGACUGCUUAUAAGUUUAUAACUAUGAAAAACCAUAUAAUAAAAUCUGACUUUUAAAAAAGAUCAAAAUGCAGUGGUCAGAUGGUCACCAGCGUACUGUGCUCAGGCUUCUCCUGCCGUGGAAUUGGGGAGGGGUCUUUCCAAUGCUUCUGGACUUGGAGAAAAUGCACUGUAUUAUGGGAGAUUGUAAAGAUGAGGUGCAAACGGUAAUACUUUUAGGUUUCAAUUGACUAGGUUUGUUUAGAGACAAAUUGAAACAAUUGUCAGAUUCAGUGCCCCACACUCAGCCACACGUGAUGCCAUGCAAAGCAGGCCCUGCCUGACCGCCACCAGCUCCCUGGAGCCAGUGCAGCUGAUGGCAGAACUGACACAGAGGGAAGGUCUGAGGUUCCUAUGCUAAGCAGGCUCUCUGCACUCCAUCUAUUAGAUAUGUGUGACAUCUUUCCAAACCCGGGUCACAAAUGCACCCUCACAUUCAUCUCACAAAGGCACCUGGAGUUCUGACUUUCAAUUGUAUCUUAGCUGUAAAAAUACCACCACGACAACAGGCCUUGAAUUUUUUGAAUAUAGAUACAGACUGGCACUCCUCCCCCUCCUCUCCUUUACUUUCUUGUCAGCUUGUAUAAUGCACAGUAUCUUUACAAAUGGAUACUUAAUUGGAAUGAUGUAUAUGUGCAAAUAUCACAAUGGUUUUAAUAAAGUAACGAGA